rnacentral:rRNA from 1 species
CGCCGCCGAGGAGAUCGUCAAUUCGUCAUCGCAGGCGCCGGCGUGGCAGGCCUCGCCGUCGCCCUGGGACUCCACAGGAAGGGCGUUCGGUGCGUGGUGCUGGAGUCGUCGCCGGUGCUCCGGACUUCCGGGUUCGCGAUCGCCGCAUGGACGAACGCCUUCCGCGCGCUUGAUGCCCUUGGGGUAGGCGACACCAUUAGGAGGAAACACCUGCAGAUCAAGGGGGCGUGUGUCAUGUCUUCGACAACAGGGGAAGUGGCGCGAGAGAUUGAUCUCCGGGUGCAAGGAAAAUGGGGACCCCAUGAAGCCCAGUGCGUGCAGCGUAACGUGCUGCUCCAGGCACUGGAGGAAGAACUGCCCAGAGGCACCAUCCGCUACUCCUCCAAGAUCGUCUCCAUCGACGACCAAGACGGCGACGGCGACGGCGACGCCAAGAUCCUCCAUCUUGCUGACGGCUCAACUCUCCGUGCAAAGGUGCUGAUCGGCUGUGACGGGAUCAACUCGGUGGUGGCGAAAUGGCUGGGGCUCGCCAAGCCGCGGGACUCGGGGCGCAGGGCCACGCGGGGCCACGCCAAGUACCCCGACGGCCAUGGCUUCGAGCACAAGAUGCUGCAGUUCAGCGGCCAGGGAUUCCGCGCGGGCUUGGUCCCCUGCAACCACACCGACGUCUACUGGUUCUUCACAUGGUCUCCUCCUACUCCGGACGGUAAGGAUGACACCGAGCAGAACCCGGCGGAGAUGAAGCAGUUCGUGCUGGCGAAGCUCAGAAGCAUCAAGCCCCCCGCCGAUGUGCUGGAAGCGGUCGAGAGGAGCGAGAUGAACGACGUCCUCGUGGCGCCCCUGCGGUACCGUCCCCCGCUGUCGCUCCUGUUCGCCAGCAUCAGCAAGGGGAACGUGUGCGUCGCCGGCGACGCGCUCCACCCGACGACGCCGGACCUGGCGCAGGGCGCGUGCGUCGCGCUGGAGGACGCGGUCGUCCUCGCGCGGUGCCUCGGCGACGCCAUCGUCGGGAAGGAACGGGAGUCGGUCGAGGCGGCUCUGCGCCGGUACGCAGGGAUCCGGCGGUGGAGGAGCGCGCAGGUGAUCGCCGCGUCCUACAUGGUGGGGCUGCUGCAGCAGAGCGAUCACGCCGUGGUGAGGUUUGCGCGGGACAGGCUGCUGUCCGGGAUGCUCGCCAAGGGGCUCCUCAUGAUGCCGGACUACGACUGCGGCACGCUGUGA